rnacentral:rRNA from 1 species
AUACGGAGGGGGCUAGCGUUGUUCGGAAUUACUGGGCGUAAAGCGCGCGUAGGCGGAUCGUUAAGUUAGGGGUGAAAGCCCGGAGCUCAACUCCGGAACUGCCCUUGAUACUGGCGAUCUCGAGUCCGGGAGAGGUGAGCGGAAUUCCUAGUGUAGAGGUGAAAUUCGUAGAUAUUAGGAGGAACACCAGUGGCGAAGGCGGCUCACUGGCCCGGUACUGACGCUGAGGUGCGAAAGCGUGGGGAGCAAACAGGAUUAGAAACCCUAGUAGUCC